rnacentral:rRNA from 1 species
GAACGCUGGCGGCAGGCCUAACACAUGCAAGUCGAGCGGUAGAGAGAAGCUUGCUUCUCUUGAGAGCGGCGGACGGGUGAGUAAUGCCUAGGAAUCUGCCUGGUAGUGGGGGAUAACGUUCGGAAACGGACGCUAAUACCGCAUACGUCCUACGGGAGAAAGCAGGGGACCUUCGGGCCUUGCGCUAUCAGAUGAGCCUAGGUCGGAUUAGCUAGUUGGUGAGGUAAUGGCUCACCAAGGCGACGAUCCGUAACUGGUCUGAGAGGAUGAUCAGUCACACUGGAACUGAGACACGGUCCAGACUCCUACGGGAGGCAGCAGUGGGGAAUAUUGGACAAUGGGCGAAAGCCUGAUCCAGCCAUGCCGCGUGUGUGAAGAAGGUCUUCGGAUUGUAAAGCACUUUAAGUUGGGAGGAAGGGCAGUUACCUAAUACGUGAUUGUUUUGACGUUACCGACAGAAUAAGCACCGGCUAACUCUGUGCCAGCAGCCGCGGUAAUACAGAGGGUGCAAGCGUUAAUCGGAAUUACUGGGCGUAAAGCGCGCGUAGGUGGUUUGUUAAGUUGGAUGUGAAAUCCCCGGGCUCAACCUGGGAACUGCAUUCAAAACUGACUGACUAGAGUAUGGUAGAGGGUGGUGGAAUUUCCUGUGUAGCGGUGAAAUGCGUAGAUAUAGGAAGGAACACCAGUGGCGAAGGCGACCACCUGGACUGAUACUGACACUGAGGUGCGAAAGCGUGGGGAGCAAACAGGAUUAGAUACCCUGGUAGUCCACGCCGUAAACGAUGUCAACUAGCCGUUGGGAGCCUUGAGCUCUUAGUGGCGCAGCUAACGCAUUAAGUG